UACGGGGGGGGGCUAGCGUUGUUCGGAAUUACUGGGCGUAAAGGGCGCGUAGGCGGUCUGCUAAGUUGGAUGUGAAAACUCUGGGCUUAACCCAGAGCCUGCAUUCAAUACUGACAGGCUAGAGUUCUGGAGGGGAUAGCGGAAUUCCUGGUGUAGCGGUGAAAUGCGCAGAUAUCAGGAGGAACACCAGCGGCGAAGGCGGCGCUCUGGGCCGGUACUGACGCUGAGGAGCGAAAGCGUGGGGAGCAAACAGG
rnacentral:rRNA from 1 species